rnacentral:rRNA from 1 species
AUACGUAGGGUGCGAGCGUUGUCCGGAAUUACUGGGCGUAAAGAGCUCGUAGGGGGUUUGUCGCGUCGUCUGUGAAAUUCCGGGGCUUAACUCCGGGCGUGCAGGCGAUACGGGCAUAACUUGAGUACUGUAGGGGAGACUGGAAUUCCUGGUGUAGCGGUGAAAUGCGCAGAUAUCAGGAGGAACACCGGUGGCGAAGGCGGGUCUCUGGGCAGUAACUGACGCUGAGGAGCGAAAGCAUGGGUAGCGAACAGGAUUAGAUACCCUGGUAGUCCAUGCCGUAAACGGUGGGCGCUAGGUGUAGGGGUCUUCCACGACUUCUGUGCCGUAGCUAACGCAUUAAGCGCCCCGCCUGGGGAGUACGGCCGCAAGGCUAAAACUCAAAGGAAUUGACGGGG